UUCAUCAAUCAAGAAAAUCCACUCAGACAAUUAAUUAGAUCAUCUUCUCACAAUCAGCUCCCACUCCAAACUCUUGUUAACAUGACUAAAAUGUGCCUAUCUCACAAGAUCUCUUUCUUGUUUUGUUUUCUCUGGUACUAACAGUUCAUUCUUUUUCGUCCCCAAACACUCCAGCAAUGGCUUUGCCAGACAUACCUUUUGAAGUAGAGUUUAUUGAAAAGAUUCUGCUACCAAAUAGUCUUACAUAUACUCAACGUUGCUGGGACCGUUGUGAAAUUAAUUUUGAUUGCAGAAAAUUGCCAGGUUGUGGGUAUUGUCGACGGCAGAGUUCUAAAUCGCCGUUUAAGAGAUGCUUGACUCCACGUUGACCGAUUUGAAUCUCAUAUAUUAUAAAAGUUUUUAAUUUUAUUGCAUUUUUACUCUAAUUACCAGCUCCUUCUCCUUCUGACCUUUGUAUCACUUGUAAGAUUUAUAAUAUUAGUGACUACAGUCAAACCUCUCUAUAAUAGACUCGUUUGUUCCGGAUA